rnacentral:misc_RNA from 1 species
AAUGUCGUAACAAGGUUUCCGUAGGUGAACCUGCGGAAGGAUCAUUAAAGAAUUAGGCUUCGCGGCCAAAGGUUCUCACCCUUUCGUAUACCGAAAUCCAUGUUGCUUUGGCAGGCCCCAUGCAUUUCUCGGGCCUGCCAGAGGUUAUAAACCCUAGAACUCUCUGCUGUCUGAGUACUAUACGAUGUUAAAAU